GCGAAAUAUUGAAAAUCUAAAUAUUAUGUUAACUGUAAACAACACGUGCGGCUAGCAAACAAACAACACCUGCACUUGUUUACGACACACGUGCAAGGUACGGUAGUGGGGACAACCCUUAUAAGACGGCGAGCCGCACGAGUUGUACCAUUCUUGUGUCGAACUCCGUACAGAGAACAUCCAAUAAAAGUAAUCCGUGACAGUGAGCCAUUGUUUAACUGGCGCUAUGCGUCCUCCACAAAGGUCACUGUUACCUUGGGAUCAGAGUAUAAUAUUCGUACUUUAACAUCAGAAGUAGAGGAUCGUCCUGCUGCCCACCCAUUAUAUUGAAAAAGACGGCCACAAAGGAUGAAACUAAGUUUCAAAUACUCGUAUUAUCCUAAUUUAUAUAAGAUAAUAAUCGUGGAUGGAGUCAGGUGUUUAAUUAAUUAAAACUAAGGCUAAACUUGGAAUUGGACCUGAAUAUAAAAAUUGGACCUGGACUUGAGCCGUGGCAUAUUCAUCACAAUGCCUAUGUACUGUCAGGAUCGAGGAUAAUGGUGCCUACCUACAUUUGAAUACUGUUGUUACGGUGAGUCGUUUUCAUACUGGAACUUUAUUGUUAUUGACUUCAUUGCUGGGUGUAUUUUAAUUUUUAAUAAUGGGGAAAUUGAUUUAAAAUUAACUUGGAAAGUGCUAUUUCUCUUUAUUUUAAAACAAAAUUGACGAGACAUAUUCCCGCAAUACGUGUCAAUCAUAAUUCAAACCGCGUUUUCAAAUCGGUUUUCAUCAUCGUCAAAUCUUGGUAUUUUGGUCUAAAAAUGUUUUGAAUUGGUGCAGACACGCUAACGCUGCGUGGUUUAAGCUGUAUUUUCUCACUCCAAGCAAUAAAUAAACUUUCGUUAAAUUACAACGUGAUUUGUAAUCUACCGUCAUUAAUUCAAAUCUUUAUAAACCGAUUGAAAGAGUCAUGUGAAUGUGAUAAUACUCCUAGUUAUUUUGUUUCAUGUGACCACUGCUACAUGAUGACGAGUGAAUGACAAACGGCGAAGGCGUUACAGCAUGGCACAGUCUGAGAGUGGCAGCCGUGCCGCGUGUGUGCCGUGUGGUGGUGACUUCGUGGCAGCGUAUUAAUAAACGCAAGCUCAGAGCACGAGCUGCGUAUCAGUAUGGCCGUGAUAGCGCGACAGCGAAAUAUUGAAAAUCUAAAUAUUAUGUUAACUGUAAACAACACGUGCGGCUAGCAAACAAACAACACCUGCACUUGUUUACGACACACGUGCAAGGUACGGUAGUGGGGACAACCCUUAUAAGACGGCGAGCCGCACGAGUUGUACCAUUCUUGUGUCGAACUCCGUACAGAGAACAUCCAAUAAAAGUAAUCCGUGACAGUGA